rnacentral:rRNA from 1 species
GUCGAACGGAAGAUAUACGGCAACGAGAUUUCGGUCAAAUCAAGUGUAUCUUUAGUGGCGGACGGGUGAGUAACGCGUGGGUAACCUGCCAUAUACAGGGGGAUAACACUUAGAAAUAGGUGCUAAUACCGCAUAAGCGCACAUGGCCGCAUGGCCAGGUGUGAAAAACUCCGGUGGUAUAUGAUGGACCCGCGUCUGAUUAGCUAGUUGGUGAGGUAACGGCCCACCAAGGCGACGAUCAGUAGCCGGCCUGAGAGGGUGGACGGCCACAUUGGGACUGAGACACGGCCCAAACUCCUACGGGAGGCAGCAGUGGGGGAUAUUGGACAAUGGGGGGAACCCUGAUCCAGCGACGCCGCGUGAGUGAAGAAGUAUCUCGGUAUGUAAAGCUCUAUCAGCAGGGAAGAAAGAAAUGACGGUACCUGAGUAAGAAGCCCCGGCUAACUACGUGCCAGCAGCCGCGGUAAUACGUAGGGGGCAAGCGUUAUCCGGAAUUACUGGGUGUAAAGGGAGCGUAGACGGUGAUGUAAGUCUGGAGUGAAAGGCGGGGGCCCAACCCCCGGACUGCUCUGGAAACUAUAUGACUGGAGUGCAGGAGAGGUGAGCGGAAUUCCUAGUGUAGCGGUGAAAUGCGUAGAUAUUAGGAGGAACACCAGUGGCGAAGGCGGCUCACUGGACUGUAACUGACGUUGAGGCUCGAAAGCGUGGGGAGCAAACAGGAUUAGAUACCCUGGUAGUCCACGCCGUAAACGAUGAUCACUAGGUGUGGGUGGGUAUGGACCCAUCGGUGCCGCAGCAAACGCAGUAAGUGAUCCACCUGGGGAGUACGUUCGCAAGAAUGAAACUCAAAGG